ACUUGAACAUUCCCUAUCCUGCAAUCAGUUUCAUGGUAUUUUUCAGCAGUGAAGAUUGCUUUACUUACGUCAUAAAACACAUACAUAUACAAGAAAAUGGAGUCCUCAGCAGCUAGACGAUUUGAGAAGGUUGAGCCCAAGGUGGGUUUCGAACUGAAGACCAUUGUUCUGACGUCAGCGUGCUUCAUCUAUGCCAUUGUCAUAUUCUUGACAGCGGCAUGUAUAAGCAAGGCAGUAGCAUCGACCAUGUCAUCAGCUUCCUUGACAUUGAAGCGCUAUCAGUUCUGGAGUAUUGACCACCAGACCACACUGGACAUGAAGCCGACAAGAGCACGCUCGACAAAGCACAUUUACCAGGGCUGAUACAUCACUGACCCAAACAACAAGGGAAUCUCAAAACUACUUACAUCGUCAAACAGUUGACCUAAUUAUUUGGAUGAUUUGGGCGAUGAUGAUGCAAUAUGCCAUUCUAAAAUGAUGUGCAUAAUGAAUUGACCGAUUUUCCUAUUGCAAUCCGCGCCGUAGCGAUUGCGCUGCCUCAAUAACUUGCAACGUGGCCCAGAUACUGCGGAACUGUAUACGGACUAUCAAUAGAAAAAAGGUAAUGGAUUGUAAUCGGACGACAACGGGGAUGUAACUUUUCGUUUUCAAUGUCAUGUCACAAACAAAGACUUUCCGAAAGAAUUUGGACCAUGCACGGCCAUGCACGUGCGAAAGUCUACUACGAAAUACGUUCGACCCCGAACAGCAGUGCGGAAGAACAAAUUAAUGACAGCCAUUGGAUGUGUGAUGUUCUGUUUUAGUCAAAUGCCAAUUAAACUAAGAAUGAAUUGUGGAUGUGAUGAGUGUCAGGUGUACGCCAUUGAAUAUAAGUGAUCAUGAAUGUUAGUUGGGAAAUUUAUAUUGAUAUGAGAUACUUAACAUUUUAAAGAACAACUUGAGAGAGUGUAUAUGUUUUGAUCUCUCUUGAUGAACAAACAAAAUUUGUUAUAUUAAAAUGUUAGUUUUUUGUCGUGAAUUUGAAAGUGUGUACAGACUAUAACAAUAGAAAAAUGUUGUUUUUUUCAAAAUCGUUUCGGUUCAACAAGACGUCAUUGUCUACUUUUCUGGCGUUUUCAUAUAGAGAGAUAUUCAGAGAGAUUUAGUUUGAAACGUUCAUUGUCUUUCAUUAAUACAUGCAUGUAUAUAUGUAGAUAAUCAAAAAUCGCAUAACAAUAUCAUAAAUGUUGAUUGAAGAAUGAAAAGAAAUCACAAGUGUAUCAACUAGAGUUAAUUUGUGUUUGGGUGUGCAGAAUGAGUGUGACGAAUGUUUAUUUUUUUGUAUUAUUGUUAUAAUCUGUUGCUUUUCACAGAGAAAUGUUGUUAAUAAAUUACAAAACACUA
rnacentral:lncRNA from 1 species